rnacentral:rRNA from 1 species
ACUCAAAUGAAUAGACGGGGGCCCGCACAAGCGGUGGAGCAUGUGGUUUAAUUCGAUGCAACGCGAAGAACCUUACCUACUCUUGACAUCCCCGGAAUCCUGCAGAAAUGCGGGAGUGCCUUCGGGAACCGGGAGACAGGUGCUGCAUGGCUGUCGUCAGCUCGUGUCGUGAGAUGUUGGGUUAAGUCCCGUAACGAGCGCAACCCCUAUCCUUAGUUGCCAGCAGGUUAAGCUGGGCACUCUAAGGAGACUGCCGGUGAUAAACCGGAGGAAGGCGGGGACGACGUCAAGUCAUCAUGGCCCUUACGAGUAGGGCUACACACGUGCUACAAUGGACAGUACAAUGGGUCGCCAAACCGCGAGGUGGAGCUAAUCCAGAAAAGCUGUUCGUAGUCCAGAUUGGAGUCUGCAACUCGACUCCAUGAAGUUGGAAUCGCUAGUAAUCGCGGAUCAGAACGCCGCGGUGAAUACGUUCCCGGGCCUUGCACACACCGCCCGU